rnacentral:rRNA from 11 species
GCAGAGUGCCGAAGCUACGGGUGUAUCGUAAGAUACGCGGUAGCCGAGUAUUGUGUUCGCGGCGAAGCCAUACGGAAACGGGUGGUGGAGCGUACACAAGCGCUAAUGUAGGCGUGAGUAGCGAUAAACAGAGUGAAAAACUCUGUCGCCGUAAACCCAAGGGUUCCUGGGUUAAGAUAAUCUGCCUAGGGUUAGUCGGCUCCUAAGGCGAGGCCGAAAGGCGUAGUCGAUGGAAAGCAGGCGAAUAUUCCUGCACCAGCACGGACGUUUUCUCAAGGAGGGACGGAGGAGGGUAGCUGAGCCGGUCAUUGGAUUCCGGUUCAAGCUCGUAGGUAGAGACUGUAGGAGGCAAUGGCCACAAACGCAGUCUUAUAUACCGAGAGGUGAUGAGGAGAGACUUCGGUCUCAAAACUCAGUGAUCCCAUGCUUCCAGGAAAAGCUUCGUGAGAGCCAAACGCUGUGCUGACCGUACCGUAAACCGACUCAGGUGGGUGGGAAGAGAAUUCCAAGGCGCUUGGGAGAACUCUGGCUAAG